rnacentral:rRNA from 1 species
CCUUUAUUUAUUGGCGGCCUUUUUUCUUAUUAGAGGAACUCGUCUCAUAAUCGUCAAUCCUCGUUAAUUUUUACUUUUUUUUAUCUCUUAUACCGCCGUCUAAAGAUUAAAUUCCUUUUUCAAGAAAAAAUAAUUUUAUUAAGUCAGGUAAAGGUGAGGAAAAUAAAAAAGAGAAGAUAAGUUACUUAUGAAAAUUAUUUUUGGAUACACAAUUUAACUCUUUGUUGAAAAAGGAUUUAAUAGUAA